UACGAAGGGGGCUAGCGUUGUUCGGAAUUACUGGGCGUAAAGCGCGCGCAGGCGGUUCUCCAAGUCAGUGGUGAAAGCCCGGAGCUCAACUCCGGAACUGCCAUUGAAACUGUUUGAACUUGAGGACGAGAGAGGUGAGUGGAAUUUCCCAGUGUAGAGGUGAAAUUCGUAGAUAUUGGGAAGAACACCGGUGGCGAAGGCGGCUCACUGGCUCGUAUCUGACGCUCAGGCGCGAUAGCGUGGGGGAUCAAACAGG
rnacentral:rRNA from 1 species